rnacentral:sRNA from 1 species
ACUAUUGUUCUAAACAUUGUAAACCCAAAUCUAUAGUUAUAAUUUUAAGGCAUGUCUACUUUGUCACAAAAUAAUCUGUAAACUUAUCCAAUUUUUGGCAACGUUUUUCAUUGGAUAGUAACUUAAAUUUAAAUAAGUAAAAUAUAACCGUGUUAUAUCCUGAGAAGAUUAAAUGAGGGAUUUUCCGACAAGGCUAUAUUCACCGAGAAGUACGGAAUAGAUGUUCAUCGUCGAAAAUAACCAAGGU